UCUAAUAUAAUAAAUGAAGCAUAAUGAAUUUAAGCUUCAUAUAUAAAGAAUAAUCUUUUAUUAGAA
rnacentral:tRNA from 1 species